UUCAUUAGGGAGAGACAUAAUAACUGUAGUCAAUAUAUUACGAUCAUGGCCAUAAAACCAGCUGGGUGGAGUCAGGGUUGAUGUUGGAAUCCCAUUAUUCUUAUUACAAGAAUUAAUUUAUGAAAUGAAGACAUAAACAUCCCUUUUUAUCCACAACAACCUAACCUAUCUCUUCUCACCUGCUGAUUACAGGGGAAUACCGAGUCCUGUGCGUGUGCUUGUGUAGGUGUGAGUGACGUCAUGAUGUUAACAAAAUGUAGGCGUUGGGGUCAAAGCGUUAACAGUGGAGCUUGAGCCAUCAAGAAGACGGUUUGUGGAGGUCUGCUUAUACUGUAUAUCACCGACUGUCUCUCCUCCGGUGUGUGUUUACUGUUGUGGUGAAAUCAACACUGGACACAAUGACUCGCACCGCAGUGCUGAUGCUGGUGGUUGUGGCGGUGGUGGCAACAGCAUCCCAGA